AAUAGAUACCCUGGUAGUCCACGCCGUAAACGAUGAGUGCUAAGUGUUAGAGGGUUUCCGCCCUUUAGUGCUGCAGCUAACGCAUUAAGCACUCCGCCUGGGGAGUACGGCCGCAAGGCUGAAACUCAAAGGAAUUGACGGGGGCCCGCACAAGCGGUGGAGCAUGUGGUUUAAUUCGAAGCAACGCGAAGAACCUUACCAGGUCUUGACAUCCUCUGACAACCCUAGAGAUAGGGCUUUCCCCUUCGGGGGACAGAGUGACAGGUGGUGCAUGGUUGUCGUCAGCUCGUGUCGUGAGAUGUUGGGUUAAGUCCCGCAACGAGCGCAACCCUUGAUCUUAGUUGCCAGCAUUCAGUUGGGCACUCUAAGGUGACUGCCGGUGACAAACCGGAGGAAGGUGGGGAUGACGUCAAAUCAUCAUGCCCCUUAUGACCUGGGCUACACACGUGCUACAAUGGAUGGUACAAAGGGCUGCAAACCUGCGAAGGUAAGCGAAUCCCAUAAAACCAUUCUCAGUUCGGAUUGCAGG
rnacentral:rRNA from 1 species